CUACCCGCUCCGCGAGUGGUGGGGACUUUUACUGGGCUUAAAGCGCCCGUAGCCGGCUGGGUGUGUCCUCCGUUAAAUCCACAGGCCUAACCUGUGGGCUGCGGGGGAUACUACCCGGCUUGGGGGUGGGAGAGGGCGGCGGUAUUCCCGGGGUAGGGGUAAAAUCCACUGAUCCCGGGAGGACCACCAGUGGCGAAGGCGGCCGCCCAGAACACGCCCGACGGUGAGGGGCGAAAGCUGGGGGAGCAAACGGGAUUAGAAACCCCAGUAGUCC
rnacentral:rRNA from 1 species